CGGUGUUUAACUGGCGUGAUGUGGGACGUCCUACCGGUGGGCUUAGCCUCACGAGGGGCGGCCCAACUAAUAUCCCGUCGCGGUGCUCUUUACUGAGUGUCGAGUCGGGCCGGUACGUUUACUUUGAACAAAUUAGAGUGCUUAAAGCAGGCUAUCCUCGCCUGAAUACUGCGUGCAUGGAAUAAUGGAAUAGGACCUCGGUUCUAUUUUGUUGGUUUUCGGAACCCCGAGGUAAUGAUUAAUAGGGACAGAUGGGGGCAUUCGUAUUGCGACGUUAGAGGUGAAAUUCUUGGAUCGUCGCAAGACGGACAGAAGCGAAAGCAUUUGCCAAAAAUGUUUUCAUUAAUCAAGAACGAAAGUUAGAGGUUCGAAGGCGAUCAGAUACCGCCCUAGUUCUAACCAUAAACGAUGCCAGCUAGCGAUCCGCCGAAGUUCCUCCGAUGACUCGGCGGGCAGCUUCCGGGAAACCAAAGCUUUUGGGUUCCGGGGGAAGUAUGGUUGCAAAGCUGAAACUUAAAGGAAUUGACGGAAGGGCACCACCAGGAGUGGAGCCUGCGGCUUAAUUUGACUCAACACGGGAAACCUCACCAGGCCCAGACACCGGAAGGAUUGACAGAUUGAUAGCUCUUUCUUGAUUCGGUGGGUGGUGGUGCAUGGCCCGUUCUUAGUUGGUGGAGCGAUUUGUCUGGUUAAUUCCGAUAACGAACGAGACUCUAGCCUGCUAAAUAGGCGUACCUUAUGGUAUCGCGAAGGCCCCCGGCUUCGGCCGGUGGGUUUUUACUACCAACGUACAAACAAAUCUUCUUAGAGGGACAGGCGG
rnacentral:rRNA from 1 species